UAUUGAGGAUUUGAUCCUGGUCCAGGAUGAACGCUGGCGGCGUGGAUAAGGCAUGCAAGUCGUGCGAUUCCUCUCCGGUUUCGCAAGAAACUAAAGAGGGAUAGCGGCGAACGAGUUAGUAACACCUUGGUACGUACCUCUAAGUUGGACAUAGCCACUUGAAAGAGUGGGUAAUAUCCAAUAGUCUCCGACCUUGUGUCGGAGUAAAGAAGUAAUUCGCUUAGUGAGCGGCCUAGGUCCGAUCAGCUAGUUGGUAGGGUAACUGCCUACCAAGGCUAUGACCGGUAGGGGAGGUGAGAGCCUGUUCCCCAACGACGAAACUGAGACACGGUUCGUACUCCUACGGGAGGCAGCAGUCGAGAAUAUUCCACAAUGGGCGAAAGCCUGAUGGAGCGACGCCGCGUGCAGGAAGAAGGCCUUCGGGUUGUAAACUGCGGUAGCAGGGGAAAAACUUCGGUGAUUGUACCCUGCGGAAAGAGGUUGGUAACUACGUGCCAGCACCCGCGGUAAUACGUAGACCUCAAGCGUUAUCCGGAUUUAUUGGGCGUAAAGCGUGUGUAGGGGGUUUGAUAAGUCGGUGGUUAAAUCUUAAGGCCUAACCUUAAGCUCGCCUCCGAUACUGUCAAACUAGAGGGCAUUAGAGGCUAGCGGAACGCACGGUGUAGGGGUGAAAUCCGUUGAUAUCGUGCGGAACACCAGAGGCGAAGGCGGCUAGCUGGGACGUCCCUGACCCUGAGACACGAAAGCGUGGGGAGCAAAAAGGAUUAGAUACCCUUGUAGUCCACGCCCUAAACUAUGCCUGCUAGCUGUUUUGAGUAUCGACCCUCAAAGUGGCGAAGCUAACGCGUUAAGCAGGCCGCCUGGGAAGUACGGCCGCAAGGCUAAAACUCAAAGGAAUAGACGGGGACUCGCACAAGCGGUGGAGCAUGAGGUUUAAUUCGACAUUAAGCGAGGAACCUUACCAGGGCUUGAAAUCCCGACGAACUCCAGCAGAAACGUUGGAGGUCCGCAAGGACGGCGGGACAGGUGCUGCACGGUUGUCGUCAGCUCGUGUCUUGAGAUGUUCCCUUAAGUGGGGUAACGAGCGCAACCCCUGUCGUGUGUUAUAUGUAUCACGCGAGACUGCCCAGCCCUAAGUUCAGAUUUUAGAAAUCAAAUAUCGGAUGUCGGAUUUAUAUCCAAUAUCCGAUGUCUGAAAUCCAAUAUCCGAUUUUAGGGCUGGGAGGAAGGUGGGGAUGACGUCAAAUCAGCGUGGCCCUUUGAUGCCCUGGGCUACACUCAUGCUACAAUGGCCGUUACAAUGGGUUGCCAAGCCGCAAGGCGGAGCUAAUCCCACAAAAACGGCCCCAGUUCGGAUUGCAGGCUGCAACUCGCCUGCAUGAAGCCGGAAUCGCUAGUAAUCGCGUAUCAGCAAUGGCGCGGUGAAUACGUUCUCGAGUCCUGUACUCACUGCCCGUCAAGUCAGGGGAGCCGGGAAUACCUAGAGCCCAGCCCAAAGUUCG
rnacentral:rRNA from 1 species